rnacentral:tRNA from 1 species
GGCACAUUAGCUCAGUGGUUAGAGCACUCUAUAUCUAUUGAUUGAAGGUAACUGGGAAUAGUACUUCCUGUAAUUGUACUAAUAGAAAUAGAAAGGUCACUGGUUCAAAUCCAGUAUGUGCUUCA